AGAACCCUUUUGUUUUCUCAUGUUCCAACGGGACCAAUUUGGUGAUUAUUAAGUUCCUCUGGCCACAGUUCCCCUAACUCUUUCAGCUCCUACUU